rnacentral:rRNA from 1 species
GACGAACGCUGGCGGCGUAGCUUAAGACAUGCAAGUCGAACGGAGAUACUCAUGAAGCUUGCGAUUGAGAAUCUUAGUGGCGGACGGGUGAGUAACGCUGGGUAACCUGCCCUAUGUCCGGGAUAACAUUCCGAAAGGGAUGCUAAGACCGGAUAUGCUCACGGCUCGGCAUCGAGCAGGGAGGAAAGGUAGCGCCAUAGGAUGGACCCGCGUCCCAUUAGCUAGUUGGUGAGGUAACGGCUCACCAAGGCGACGAUGGGUAGCCGGCCUGAGAGGGUGACCGGCCACACUGGGACUGAGACACGGCCCAGACUCCUACGGGAGGCAGCAGUCGGGAAUUUUCGGCAAUGGGGGGAACCCUGACCGAGCAACGCCGCGUGAGGGAAGAAGGUCUUCGGAUCGUAAACCUUUGUCAUCAGGGACGAUCAUGACGGUACCUGAGGAGGAAGCCACGGCUAACUACGUG